rnacentral:piRNA from 1 species
UUGUAUGGUCUUUAGGCUAACAUACCUAC